rnacentral:tRNA from 1 species
CAGAGAAUAGUUUAAUAAAAAAUACCAGCUUUGGGAGUUGGUNWUGAAGGUUGGUUGU